rnacentral:rRNA from 1 species
GAACGAACGCUGGCGGCAUGCCUAACACAUGCAGGUCGAACGAGACCUUCGGGUCUAGUGGCGCACGGGUGCGUAACGCGUGGGAACCUGCCCUUAGGUUCGGAAUAACUCCCCGAAAGGGGUGCUAAUACCGGAUAAUGUCUUCGGACCAAAGAUUUAUCGCCUUUGGAUGGGCCCGCGUUGGAUUAGCUAGUUGGUAGGGUAAAAGCCUACCAAGGCGACGAUCCAUAGCUGGUCUGAGAGGAUGAUCAGCCACACUGGGACUGAGACACGGCCCAGACUCCUACGGGAGGCAGCAGUGGGGAAUAUUGGACAAUGGGCGAAAGCCUGAUCCAGCAAUGCCGCGUGAGUGAUGAAGGCCUUAGGGUUGUAAAGCUCUUUUACCCGGGAUGAUAAUGACAGUACCGGGAGAAUAAGCUCCGGCUAACUCCGUG